CCUCAUCAACAUCUUCAACUUUUUUACUUGAUUAGCUUAUGAUUGAUUGCGGACAGAUGAACUUGGCCGACUUUUUCGACCGAAAUUAAUCAGCAUUUGGGCGACAUCGUUAAUCGGAAAUGCGUUGCAUUCUGUUGCACAGACUAAUAGCUCAAACAAUGGAAUUUUUCAUAAACAAUGUCGAUUUAAGACUAAUUUUAGCCGUUUGAUCCCAGAUAAGGCAGUAAAAAAUAGUUGUGCAAGGGAUUGAGUGUAAUUCUGAAAACAAACGGCGCAAUAUUGAAGCUUAGUCCGCAAGUCAGGGGCGCCGAUUUCCGGCCUGCAAGCCCGGCCUGACUAAUAUUUAGAUCAGCAGCCAUAGACCGCUGGUGCGCCACUGGUAUUUUUGUUUUUCUUUUGCGCUAACACUAUAAAAGCACCAAGUCCGCUAAUUUAAGAUUAGUAAAUCAAUUUGCAUUGUGGUGAUUUCAGAGCCCCCAACAAGCAGCAACAUGGUUAAUGGAUACCCGAACAUCAAGAUCAAUGGAACCACCAAUGGGCACAUCCAUAAGGCUCUUGAGACAGAAUAUGGACACCGAUACACUUAUGAGCUGCUACUGGAAACCGUCCAUUAUAUCAGAAACCGCGUCUCUUUUGCGCCGGUAGUGGGCGUCAUUUGCGGAUCAGGAUUGG